rnacentral:tRNA from 5 species
GCGACACUAGCUCAGUUGGUAGAGCGCAACCUUGCCAAGGUUGAGGUCACGAGUUCGAACCUCGUGUGUCG